CGCAUCUGUGCAUGCAGCAUAUCAAUAGCGGAGGAAAAGAAACUAACAAGGAUUCCCCUAGUAACGGCGAGUGAAGCGGGAAGAGCUCAAAUUUGAAAUCUUAAAGGGUUUCCCUUUACGAAUUGUAGUUUAAAGAAGUGUUUUCUGUUGAGGUUUUGGUAAAAGUUCUUUGGAAUAGGACAUCAUAGAGGGUGAGAAUCCCGUAUUUGACCUUUACUUUCAACUUUGUGAUACACUUUCAAAGAGUCGGAUUGUUUGGGAAUGCAGUCCAAAAUGGGUGGUAAAUUUCAUCUAAAGCUAAAUAUUGGCGAGAGACCGAUAGCGAACAAGUACCGUGAGGGAAAGAUGAAAAGAACUUUGAAAAGAGAGUUAAACAGUACGUGAAAUUGUCAAAAGGGAAGCGUUUGACACCAGUGUUGUUUUUCUGAAAAUCAAUUAAAGAACUGUUUAUGCUAAGCUGUUUAGACUUUAUCAGCUAUCUGUUUAGUUUUGAGCUUUUCUUUAAUGCACUUUUCAGUUAACAAGUCAACAUCAAUUUCUUUUGCUGUAAAAAAGCUUGAGGAAGGUGGCUUGAGAUUCGUCUUAAGUGUUUAUAGCCUCUUGCCUAUGCAGUCGGAGAGAUUGAGGUCUGCAGCGUAGAUCCUUCGGGGCUAAAUGCAUUUGUGCUAAGUUAUAGCAUUUUAUAGACAACUUGUUGACUAUGAUUUGUCUUGUAGCUUACUCGCUUAUGUUAUUUUACCUACGCUUAGGAUGUUGAAUCUGUGCGAGACUAC
rnacentral:rRNA from 1 species